UACGUAGGGUGCGAGCGUUAAUCGGAAUUACUGGGCGUAAAGCGUGCGCAGGCGGUGAUGUAAGACAGAUGUGAAAUCCCCGGGCUCAACCUGGGAACUGCAUUUGUGACUGCAUCGCUGGAGUGCGGCAGAGGGGGAUGGAAUUCCGCGUGUAGCAGUGAAAUGCGUAGAUAUGCGGAGGAACACCGAUGGCGAAGGCAAUCCCCUGGACCUGUACUGACGCUCAUGCACGAAAGCGUGGGGAGCAAACAGG
rnacentral:rRNA from 1 species